UACAGAGGUCUCGAGCGUUGUUCGGAUUCAUUGGGCGUAAAGAGCGUGUAGGCGGCCAGAUAGGUCUGCUGUGAAAACUCGAGGCUUAACCUCGAGAUGUCGGCGGAAACCAUCUGGCUAGAGUCCGGAAGAGGAGAGUGGAAUUCCUGGUGUAGCGGUGAAAUGCGCAGAUAUCAGGAAGAACACCCGUGGCGAAGGCGGCUCUCUGGGACGGUACUGACGCUGAGACGCGAAAGCGUGGGGAGCGAACAGG
rnacentral:rRNA from 1 species